UAUUUUACAGAGACCAACUCCGUAGUCCAAGCCUGCCGUUUGUUCUUAAAAUAAAUAAAAAAUAAAUAAAUUGACCAUACGUAGGUUCUUCUUAAUAUACCCUUAUUUCUCCAGCGAUUGCACGGCCUCCAAUUAGAACCUAGCGUACUUCUACUUUCUAUCUUUCCUUCGAUAAAGAGAUGACCUUUUGAGGCAUCCGUUUUUGAUAAGCCUUUAUUAACUUAACAGAGGCAGCCGAUUCACAUAGAUUUGAAUUAGCUUUUCUUUUUGGGAGUAGUCCUUGGGUCUAUAGGCUUUGAUGAAGUCUUUUGCCCUGGCGUAGAACAGAUGCCUAAAGAAAAGAAAAGAGGAGGCCCCUUCCACACCCACAGCCCUCCUUGGUGCUCCGCCAAGGUGCCAGCAUGUGAUUGGUGCAUGACCUCCAUCGCUUCAUCACCUGAUAGACACCUCAACCGAAUUCCCGAUAAGCCUCUUUUGAAUAGCUUACCAUCAUUCACGAUAUACCUUUUGGCCAUCUUCUUUAGCUUAUUCGCUUCGUAUCUAUCAUCCGGUAAGGUUCUGUCAGAUACUCGAUAUAUGGCUGUCUCCAAUCCACUACAUUGAUAAAGGCACAUUCUGCUCUAUCGGGCAUCCAU
rnacentral:lncRNA from 1 species